GGCACUGUGGCUUAGUUGGUCAAAGUGCCUGUCUAGUAAACAGGAGGUCCUGGGUUCAAAUCCCAGCAGUGCCU
rfam:Tetraodon nigroviridis, WGS project CAAE01000000 data, contig: CNS0BVBA, chromosome: undetermined